CAGCAUGUUGCACUGUGCCUUUGUAACCUCUUCCUUAGCUGAGGUAUAAAAUAAUAAUUUCAAGCCAUUUCACUACAGUGGGAAAGAUGCCUGGGAUCAUGUCUCUGAAAUCUUGUUAUCUGAAAGCUGCUGCCUCUACUCUGGGAUUGCCAGGGUCAUGAGACAUUCAUCAGAUAGCUCUAAUCAAGGAAAUGAAUGUGCUGUCUCAGAAUGGCUUACCAAUCCCCACUGCUGUGCUUUGUUCAGCUACCUGUGCUUUUAAGAUUUUACAAAGACACUCAGCAAGCUAAGAGGGGAACAUACCCUGAACCUCAAAUGGAAUGAGACUGGUGCAAGACAUUUCUUUGUUAAAGGUUGCUCCUUGAGUUCUUCUAUCUAAAUACAGCACUGCUGAGGUUUUGCAAUGCUAAUGAGCGAGCCAACAUGAGUAUCUGCAAAGCAUGAAAAAACUCUCACUGAAAAUAGCAAGGGCUUCCAUGGAAACACAGAAGUAGUGCAACUGUUGAUCCUUGAUUGGAAAUUAAAAUUAGCUCUGUUUGCAAUCUGAGAUGCUCGGAAAGUGCAGAUUGCUUUAAUUAGCUUCCUUUGGCACUGUAAAGAUAUUGGGAA